GACGAACGCUGGCGGCGCGCCUAACACAUGCAAGUCGAACGAGCGAGAGAGAGCUUGCUUUCUCAAGCGAGUGGCGAACGGGUGAGUAACGCGUGAGGAACCUGCCUCAAAGAGGUGGACAACAGUUGGAAACGACUGCUAAUACCGCAUAAGCCCACGACCCGGCAUCGGGUUGAGGGAAAAGGAGCAAUCCGCUUUGAGAUGGCCUCGCGUCCGAUUAGCUGGUUGGUGAGGUAACGGCCCACCAAGGCAACGAUCGGUAGCCGGACUGAGAGGUUGAACGGCCACAUUGGGACUGAGACACGGCCCAGACUCCUACGGGAGGCAGCAGUGGGGAAUAUUGCACAAUGGGGGAAACCCUGAUGCAGCGACGCCGCGUGGAGGAAGAAGGUCUUCGGAUUGUAAACUCCUGUUGUUGAGGAAGAUGAUGACGGUACUCAACAAGGAAGUGACGGCUAACUACGUGCCAGCAGCCGCGGUAAAACGUAGGUCACAAGCGUUGUCCGGAAUUACUGGGUGUAAAGGGAGCGCAGGCGGGAAGACAAGUUGGAAGUGAAAUCUAUGGGCUCAACCCAUAAACUGCUUUCAAAACUGUUUUUCUUGAGUAGUGCAGAGGUAGGCGGAAUUCCCGGUGUAGCGGUGGAAUGCGUAGAUAUCGGGAGGAACACCAGUGGCGAAGGCGGCCUACUGGGCACCAACUGACGCUGAGGCUCGAAAGUGUGGGUAGCANACAGG
rnacentral:rRNA from 1 species